UAUCCAGAGUUGGAUACUUGACCAACUGAGAUACCCAGGCUUCCCAUUUUUUGUUAUUUUUAUUCAACAUUUAAUGCAGAGGGAAGGCUGAGCAUUUUGGCAGGAAAGGAAGAGGUAUAGAAUCCCUGGAAGCAGACCCAUUUAAAUGCUCUGACCCAUUUAGCUCUCGCUCAUACUCAUCCAUCCCACUCAGCAAAGAAGUCCUGAGCCUGGAGUCAGCUGGUGUUACUCCAGAAUCUCCCUUAGGAGUCUCCAUCCCUGACUCUAAGCUGGGUAGCAAAGUAUCCCAACAAUCCCCAUGAAGUCCUGUCCUCAAGAAUUGCCCUAGUAAAUUAUCACUUUCUCUCAUAAUGUUUCCUACAACGUUUUAGAGCUUCUCGUGGAUUGGCAGCACCUAGGGCAAUUGACCAGUAGACCAACUUCUUUGACUGGUGUUCCCUCACUUAAGAACCUUCUAAUCUUAGAGAAGCGACAGAACUUGUUGGAGCCUGUGUUGUUGUUUUUUCAUCAGUGUGCCCUUUCACCCUCUAGGAUAGUUCUCCAAUGUCUUAGAGAAUUGUCACAAUGCUUAAAUGAGAUUGUGUGUGCGAACAUCCAGCCCUACAAACAGCCUAUCCAGCCUCUCCUCUAGGAGACAGUAAGAAAUAUUACUCAAAAAACGGAUUCAAAUUGUUAAUCCUUGGUUCAGAAAAUGAGACCUAUUAUCAACAUGUGAAUGAGUGAUUAGCUUAAAUUUUCAGCCGUCCAAAAUAAAUUUGAGAAUCUCUGUGAACUGUCUCAGAAAUUUGCGAUGCACAUUUAAGCUGAGUAGUCUUGCCAUGAAAAAUAAAAAUAAUUAAGUUUUAACUAUGUACUUCCUAAAUAUGUCUGACCCUUUUAUUUAAAGAAAAUCUAUUCUUUAAACCUUAUUCUACAGAAUACAAUUUGGGAAAUACUGGUUUACCCUUUCUCUUUUUUUUUUAGAGUAAAUGUCCUGAGUUGUGCUUGUCUUCGCAUUUUAGCCCGUUGGUUUUCAAACUUUACUGAGCAUCAGAAUCUUCUGGAGGGCUGUUGAAACUAGAUUGUUGAGCCCAGACCCACAGUUUCCGAUUUAGUUGGUCUGGAGCAGGGCAAAAAAUCUGCAUUUCGGCCAAGUUCCUAGGUGAAGCUGAUCCUGCUGGUCUGGAGACCACCUUGGGGGAAGCAUCUGUUCUGGUUCUAGAUCAGUGCUUCUGACCUUAAUCUGCAAGUGACCUGAGGAUCUUGAGAUUAUGAUUUGGUAGGACUGAAAUGGAGCCGAUGAACGUGCAGUUUUGAUAAGCUUCCGGCGGAUGCCACUGACGCCGUUGGUCCCCAGACCAACAUACUUUGGAGGAGGGGUGGUGAGGCUUCAGAGACUACUGGUAGAAACCAACAUUUUUCUCACUUCUUCUUGGGUCUGAAAUCAGAGACUCAUGCUUCAGUUUCUGAAAAUUAGAUGCAUGAAAAUAUAUCUACGUGGGGAGUUUUGCUGAUUUCUUUCAUCCUUCUUCCUCCCCAGGAUUGGUCUGGCGCUCGUGGAAAGCUGAGCAGACACAGUGUCCCACACAGAUGUGGCUGGUGCCUGAGCGGGAGCACCGAAUGCCGGCACUGGCUGGGCACGCUUACAAACGGAGUGAGUAAAUCUCAGAUGUUUCUGGGCCCAGAGGAAGCUCAUUCUCACAGGACCAGCCAUACUAUGAGAUAAGCCCUUCACAACCCUAUCCUCGAAUCAGCUAUGAGGCACUAGGAGAGGCUUCUCUCAAGAAGAAUUCUCAAGGGCCAGAAUGGGCAGUAGGUGAAAUGACCAGACGUUGUUGCUGAAGGCACAGGUUAAGUAGAGGUAUCUACAGCCACAGGUGACCGGAAUAACCCCUGCCUCCUUCCUAUAAUAAGCCCCUGAAAAAAAAGUGUGACGUUUCACUUGAAA